UUAUGGACCAACACCCAUGAGGAGUAGUGGCCCGUGUUGUUGAUUAACUAUCCACGGGUUAAUUACUCUCUAUGCAUGUUUCUAAUUUAUGAGAAAAAUGUAAUACCAAGUUGGGCCUUGCGAGAGGAGUUUUAUUCCAAAACGAAUAAUCAAGGGGGUCCCCAUAAGAACUCCAAGGAUGUUAGGAGCUUCCAAUAUGGAACAUAAUUUGGUACACAAGUAACUAGGACGGUAAAGGUAGAACAAAACACCGAUCAAAAGGCCAAGCCUUCCACCUUUUACCAAGUAUAUAUGUGUAUUAAAUUAAAUAGCAAUGAUAUUGUGAUAUCCCAAAGAUAUCCAUGUUAUCACAUGGAACAACCUACAUCUGCAACUAGCAAUGGUCUAAGAAGGGCUAAGCAAGCGGUAACAUAGCAAAACAACAGUUUGCUGGGAAGGUGGAGGUUGGAGGCUUAUCAUUGCAUUUGGGAGGCUUGAAAACACGGGGUAGGAAACGAGACAUAGCGAUAGAAACAAGACAACUGGCAUGUCAAUGAUAGUAGUGGUAUCCAGGGAAAUGAUCAUCUUGCGUGAGAUCCUGCUUGGAAGAAGAACAAAUCCAUGAAGUAGACGAACAUGCAUAAUCGAAUGAAUCCUCACACUUCGAAAUGCUUUCAGAACUCCAUCAAGAAGAAGCAAUCCAGAAACAAGAAAAUGACACGGCAAACACCACAACAUAUUCAUGACAUGAUGCGCAAACAAGUAUGAUGCAUGUUCGAUUUAAAUAGGCACGGCUUGGCAAGGUGCGACAAUCAAACACUAGAAAUUAAGUGAAGUUCAAUAUGCAAUGAGUUGCAUAUUGAUGAAACUCCACAUUUAAAUUAUUUAGUUCAUUCUCAUUUAUUUAAUCGACAAGUUUAAAUGUUACUAAACAUGACAAGACAUAAAGCACAAGGAGACUACAUAUUUAGGCAAGUUUAAAUGAAGCCUGCACAAUGAAUAACAAUUCAGAAAAGUACCCAUAUGUAGUUUUCGAAUUUGCUACUACUCUGCCCUAAGCACAAAUUUAUUGUUGUUAAAUAGGAAAAGUAAUGCCAAAAUGUUAGUCUACACAUUUUGCAAGUCAAGUUGCAUAUGCGGAUCAGUUUAAUCCGCGCUGCGGUUAUUUAGAUAUGAAAUAAAUUAUUUUAGCAUGGCGUUUAUGCAAAUUAAUGCAAACUACUCGUUUAAACAUUUUAAACAUGGAUGAAAGUUGGAUAUUAUUAAUAUACACAAAGUUCUCACCAUUUUUAAUAUAUAAAUUAUUUUAAUACGAUGCAAGAUUCUUGAGUUAUUAUAUGCAUGAUCAAUAGGUAUAUUUUUCAGUAAAACUAUAAAUACCGGCAUAAUUAGGAAAUUAAUGGGGACAUAAAAACAUGGACAUGCUGAAUCUGACGUGCCCAACAGUGGCACAUGGGAGACACAUACUAUAAUGUGCCUACGGGCGAGGAUUAGCAUGCGACUCUAACCAUCAUCUCAGAGGCUAGGCCUUGGCGGUUCGGCAGAGCAGGCGCGGCUUACCUUGGGCCGACCCAUGUGACGCUGGCGCAGGGCCACGAGAGGCCGGUGGAUCUAGGACCCUACGCUGGUCCAUACGGAGGCAAGCAGGUGGGGCCGGCUGGCUCGUCAUCGCUGGGCCCUUGCGAUUGAGACGACGAGCGUCGUGGUCCACGAUGGCGCUGGAUGCCCCGGCGGGUGGUGGAUCAUCCAGGACCAUGCGAGGAGAUCAAUGGGGGCAUGGGAUCGAGCUACGCCCGCGGACUCAGGGACAACCGUGGUGGCAUGACGACAAACUCCACCCGGGUCUCACCAGAUCCGACAGGAACAGGGCAAGGCAAGGCGGAUCUAGAUGGAUCCAGCCAUGGCGGAUCCAUUCCCGACAGUGAUGGUGUAAAUCAGCGCCGGCGGUGGCUGUGUUAAGCAAGGGACAGAGAGAGCCAUAAGAGGAGAGAGAGAAAUUGGGAUGAUGGGAGCAGGGAAGCGACGGGGCUCCGACCUAGGCUGUGGCACGAGGAUCUCCAGCGGUGAGGUUUGGAAGGCCUGCAAGGUCUGCGAAGCAUGCGCGCGGGAGACUCAGGAGAUGCAAGCACGCGGCAGCGCUGCUCUGGAUCACGAGCUCCUCCCCUGAUUUGGAGCGGUCGGGCGCGCCAACUAUGGUUUGGGCCGCCGAGAGGCUUUAGUUAGGCUCUACGGGCCCGUGCGAUGAGGUGGGAGAAGGUUGGCUGGGAGAAAGGUGACGGAUGCAGGUUUGAGGCGCACGGAAAAUGAGGGUGGCUAGGGUUUAGGGAAAAAUGGGCAGGGGUAGUGUGCUUAAAUAGAAAAGGUGGUCUAGGGUUAGGUUUUUUUGUCCAUUUCUGCACCAUUUUAUCUUGAUCGGACAGUCCAAAACGGUUGGGUAAGUUAGGUAGGUCUAGUUGGUUGUGUAGAUGGGUUAGGCUGAGAUGAGAGAGGGUUUUGUGGCCCGACAACGGAGUUUUUAUAUACUCAAACCGUGUGACGUUUUUCCAACUAUAGGUUGA
rnacentral:lncRNA from 1 species